GAUACUGAUGUGGUGCAAGUAGCUCCUCUACCUCCCGACUUUGAGAGGGUGAGCUACAAACGGUACAUAUACAAUGUCUGGCAAUUCACUGUCCAAGGAACCAACGGCGAUAUCCUAUUCAUUGUGAACAAAGAAUAUCAACGGUGUUUCGCCCUUCAACGUUUUUUCUCGCUCGCAAGUGGAUCCUUCUUUGCUUAUAUGGUGAAUAUGAGUGGCGUUGUUGUGAUGAGCUUCGAACGCCUUCUGAGACUUCAAGGCGGCGUUAAGGGAUGUUUCUGCUGCUGCCUCGGGCAGGAGAUGAGGAUUGAAGCUCCUCUUGGAAGACAAAUUGCCUAUAUUACCGAAGAUUGGACCCUGUGUGGUACCUCUCUCACGAUCUAUG